rnacentral:siRNA from 1 species
AAGUGCGUUCGGCUCAUAUGGUA